GGAUUGUGGCUCAGUGGUAGAGUGCUCAUCUAGCAUGCAUGAGGCACUGGGUUUGAUCCUCAGCACCA
rnacentral:tRNA from 1 species